rnacentral:snRNA from 1 species
ACACUUUCGAGCCAUUAGCUAAGAUCAAGUGCAUCAUCUUUUCUUAUCACUUUAAUAUCUGAUACAUCCUCAGCUUGAAGAUUUUAUACUAAACGUAUUUGGAGGGCAUGGGAAGGAAUAGCUGCUUCUUCCAUCCACUCCAAUAUUAAAUGGAUUUGGAGGGCAU